UCUAAUCUCACACAGUUUAGUUUACUCUUACUCUAUCAAGUUCAAAUUUUUUGUAAAGCAAUAAUGGCAUUUAGGGUUUCGUUAUAGACACCGACAAAUUACUCAAGCAAACAACAGUGAAGGGCAUGGCCAAGAAAAAAAUGUGUCCGACGAAGCAGCCACCGUCACUAUUGCCAAAAAAGACGGUGUCAAACAAGGGCAAAGCGAGCAUAUCAACACAGGUUUACAAAGGUUAUAAAGAAGAAAUGUUAAUUAAAAUGCUUUUCUGACACAGUG
rnacentral:lncRNA from 1 species